rfam:Trichuris trichiura, WGS project CBXK01000000 data, contig: TTRE_798
CAAACGGCCCUUUUCAGGGCCACCAAAUUUAAUGCAACGAUGCAU